rnacentral:RNase_P_RNA from 1 species
UGAGUAAGACAGAUGGUCGCUGCUGCAUGACCGAAAGGAUGCAGGAGAGGAAAGUCCGGGCUUCAAAGGGCAGGGUGCCAGAUAACGUCUGGCGGAGGCGACUCCAGGGACAGUGCAACAGAAAUAAACCGCACGGCUUGCCGUGUAAGGGUGGAAAGGCAGUGUAAGAGACUACCGCCUCGCUGGUAACAGAGAGGGCACAUGUAAACCCCAUCCGAAGCAAGGCCGAACAGGGAGCAUAAGGCGGCCCGUCUGCUCCCGGGUAGGCCGCUUGAGCUGUCUGGCGACAGACAGCCUAGAUAGAUGACCAUCCAGGACAUAACCCGGCUUACAGUCUUGCUCAGAGC